rnacentral:rRNA from 1 species
AGAGGGUGCAAACGUUGUUCGGAUUUACUGGGCGUAAAGCGCGUGUAGGCGGCUUUGCAAGUCGGAUGUGAAAGCCCACGGCUCAACCGUGGAAGUGCAUCCGAAACUGCAUGGCUGGAGUCUCGGAGAGGAAGGUGGAAUGCUUGGUGUAGAGGUGAAAUUCGUAGGUAUCAAGCAGAACACCUGCGGCGAAGGCGGCCUUCUGGACGAUGACUGACGCUGAGACGCGAAAGCGUGGGGAGCAAACAGGAUUAGAUACCCUGGUAGUCCACGCCGUAAACGAUGAGUGCUAGGUGUCACGGGCUUUGACCCUCGUGGUGCCGCAGCUAACGCAAUAAGCACUCCGCCUGGGGAGUACGGCCGCAAGGCUA